UUAUGCCUGCUUGGUCUGCUGUCCCCUCUCCUGCCCAGAAUCACAAGACUCCCCCUUCCCUUAUCUGAGUGGCUCAAGAGCAGUUCUCCAAGGGGAUUUUGGGCUGACUGAUGAAUAAAAGAAGGCUGGAAUGCUGGUGUGGUGAGUCAUCACCCACGUCUUGGCUGCUGUGUCUCCCAGAAGGCUUGAGAUUUCUUGCAUGGCCAUGACUUGAAAGUCUAGAAAUGAGAUCCACAGCAUAUUUUUCUUAGAGCAAUAGAGGCUUUUGCAAUAUGUAAAAAGUGACAUUUGAUCCGAAGGAGUCUGGAGGGAGCCUCCGAGUGCGGAGAACUGACCUUUAGUAACCACCUACCCAGAGCCCCGGCUGGGGAAGCGCGAGCAGAGCCUCCAGGAAGGAUGUCUGGUGCCCUCCACAGGUCAGUUCACAACGGGAGUCUUGGUGACGGCCCGCAGCUGUGUGUGUGUGCCUGAGCUCGCCCCCCU
rnacentral:lncRNA from 1 species